AAGCGCUUAUGACCAGACCUUUGCCUGGCGGAUCAUCCGGUGUUCUCACCGGUGCACUUCGCUAGGUUGAGGCCAGCGUCGAUUUCUGGAGGGGGAUAAAGGCAGUGGGAACGUGACUCCUCCGGGAGUGUUAUAGCCCGCUGCGUAAUACCCUUCUGGGGAUCGAGGUUCGCGCUCUGCAAGGACGCUGGCGUAAUGGUCAUCAGUGA
rnacentral:rRNA from 1 species